rnacentral:rRNA from 1 species
CCUACGGGAGGCAGCAGUGGGGAAUAUUGCACAAUGGGGGAAACCCUGAUGCAGCGACGCCGCGUGAGUGAAGAAGUAAUUCGUUAUGUAAAGCUCUAUCAGCAGGGAAGAAAAUGACGGUACCUGAGUAAGAAGCCCCGGCUAACUACGUGCCAGCAGCCGCGGUAAUACGUAGGGGGCAAGCGUUAUCCGGAUUUACUGGGUGUAAAGGGAGCGUAGAUGGCAGUGCAAGUCUGGAGUGAAAGGCGGGGGCUCAACCCCCGGACUGCUCUGGAAACUGUACGGCUGGAGUGCAGGAGAGGUAAGUGGAAUUCCUAGUGUAGCGGUGAAAUGCGGAGAUAUUAGGAGGAACACCAGUGGCGAAGGCGGCUUACUGGACUGUAACUGACGUUGAGGCUCGAAAGCGUGGGGAGCAAACAGGAUUAGAUACCCGGGUAGUC